GACGAACGCUGGCGGCGUGCUUAACACAUGCAAGUCGAACGAUGAUGCUGGAGCUUGCUCCAGUUGAUUAGUGGCGAACGGGUGAGUAACACGUGAGCGAUCUGCCCUUGACUCUGGGAUAACUGCGGGAAACUGUAGCUAAUACCGGAUACUUUCACCGGGGGGCAUCCUCUGGUGAUGAAAGAAUUUCGGUCAAGGAUGAGCUCGCGGCCUAUCAGCUUGUUGGUGAGGUAACGGCUCACCAAGGCGACGACGGGUAACCGGCCUGAGAGGGUGACCGGUCAAACUGGGACUGAGACACGGCCCAGACUCCUACGGGAGGCAGCAGUGGGGAAUAUUGCACAAUGGGCGCAAGCCCGAUGCAGCAACGCCGCGUGAGGGAUGAAGGCCUUCGGGUUGUAAACCUCUUUUAGCAGGGAAGAAGCGAAAGUGACGGUACCUGCAGAAAAAGCACCGGCUAACUACGUGCCAGCCGCCGCGGUAA
rnacentral:rRNA from 1 species